GUGGAUAAAAAUUGAUUGUGCGGUUCGCGAGAUGGCGAACGGCAGUAAGCGCGAAAAAGCCUCGCUCUUCCUGCGACCGCGGAUACGCGGACGGCAGUAGGGUUAGGUGCUGCAGGACAUCGACGAUGGCGAUGCUGCAGCAGCCACUCCACCUCAGCGCACUGCUUUCCGUUCGUCCGAGGUGUACAAGCAGUAGCAGCCGAAGAAGGACGAAUCCGAAGCUCUUUCCCGCGUUUAGAUGCCGAAUAAUGGAAGCGAAGCAGGUGGAUGCUCGCAGUAAUGAGAGAGACCCUCUUUCUCAUAUGGAAAAAAUCGUAGCAUCAUCUCGGAGGAGAAGGCUUAUCUUAACAUUGCUAAUUCCUAUUAUGUUUCCUCAACAUCAUAUAGCAAAAGCGGUCGAUGUAGGAGAAGCAUCAAUUCUUCAAAAUGGGGUGAGGAAUUUGAUGUCCAAGGCAAAAGCUGCUGGUUUGCUCCGUUUGGCUUUCCAUGAUGCAGGAACAUUUGAUUUGGAUGACAAAUCAGGUGGUAUGAAUGGUUCCAUAGUUUAUGAACUCGACAGACCUGAAAAUGCUGGCCUUAACAAAUCUCUGAAGGUAUUAGAGAAAGCCAAGAUGGAAAUUGAAAAAAAUCAGCAAGUAUCUUGGGCGGACCUGAUUGCUGUGGCUGGUGCUGAGGCUGUUUCAUUCUGUGGAGGGCCUGUUAUUCCUGUUCAAUUAGGUCGGCUGGAUGCAAGGACACCAGAUCCUCAAGGGAAGCUUCCUCAAGAAACUCUUGAUGCCUCUGGUCUAAAGAAAUGCUUUUUGAAGAAAGGCUUUUCUGGAAUUAUGUUGACAGGACACAGGAACUUGUUGCAUUAUCUGGAGCACAUACAAUUGGAAACAAAGGUUUUGGAAGUCCUGUUGUUUUUGACAAUGCUUACUUCAAUAUACUACUCGAAAAAACAUGGACAUCUUCAGGUGGCAUGUUGAGCAUGAUAGGGCUUCCAUCAGAUCGAGCACUAGCCGAGGACGAGGAGUGCUUAAGGUGGAUUAAGAUCUAUGCUGGUGAUCAAGCCAAGUUUUUCGAUGAUUUUAGGAAUGCAUACAUCAAGCUUGUAAACUCUGGUGCUUCAUGGAGAAUUGUCUGACUAGAUUCUUGUUAUACUUAAAAAGAUAUAGUUUUUCUCUCUUCUCUUCGUGUAAUUAUAGAAUGGCAAAUUAAGAAGUAGAUUUGAUCUCUA